CCCUUAGAUGUUCUGGGCCGCACGCGUGCUACACUGACCGGCGCAACAAGCUUCUUUCCUUGACCGAUAGGUCUGGGUAAUCUUCGAACGCCGGUCGUGAUGGGGAUAGAUCCUUGCAAUUUUUGAUCUUCAACGAGGAAUUCCUAGUAAACGCGAGUCAUCAUCUCGCAUUGAUUACGUCCCUGCCCUUUGUACACACCGCCCGUCGCACCUACCGAUUGAAUGGUCCGGUGAAAUCUCGGGACGGCGGCUUGGUCGCUUGCGUCCGACUGCUGAAACUUGAUUAAACCAUAUCAUUUAGAGGAAGGUGAAGUCGUAACA
rnacentral:rRNA from 1 species